rnacentral:rRNA from 1 species
UACAGAGGUCUCAAGCGUUGUUCGGAUUCAUUGGGCGUAAAGGGUGUGUAGGUGGCGCGGUAAGUCGGGUGUGAAAUCUCGGAGCUUAACUCCGAAACUGCAUUCGAUACUGCUGUGCUCGAGGACUGGAGAGGAGACUGGAAUUUACGGUGUAGCGGUGAAAUGCGUAGAUAUCGUAAGGAAGACCAGUGGCGAAGGCGGGUCUCUGGACAGUUCCUGACGCUGAGGCACGAAGGCCAGGGGAGCAAACGGG